UACGUAGGGGGCAAGCGUUAUCCGGAUUUACUGGGUGUAAAGGGAGCGUAGACGGCGGUGCAAGCCAGAUGUGAAAGCCCGGGGCUCAACCCCGGGACUGCAUUUGGAACUGUAUAGCUAGAGUGUCGGAGAGGCAGGCGGAAUUCCUAGUGUAGCGGUGAAAUGCGUAGAUAUUAGGAGGAACACCAGUGGCGAAAGCGGCUCUCUGGUCUGUAACUGACGCUGAGGUUCGAAAGCGUGGGUAGCAAACAGG
rnacentral:rRNA from 1 species